rnacentral:rRNA from 1 species
ACCGGCAGCUCAAGUGGUGGCCAUUAUUAUUGGGCCUAAAGCGUUCGUAGCCGGUUUGAUAAGUCUCUGGUGAAAUCCCGCAGCUUAACUGCGGGACUUGCUGGAGAUACUAUCAGACUUGAGGUCGGGAGAGGUUAGGGGUACUCCCAGGUUAGGGGUGAAAUCAUAUAAUCCUGGGAGGACUACCUGUGGCGAAGGCGCCUAACUGGAACGAACCUGACGGAGAGUAACGAAAGCUAGGGGCGUGGAUCA